GGGUGUGAGAAUUAUGUCUGUGACAUUUGUUACUUCACGGAUCACCAGGGUUGAGUCUAUUGGAUUGACUGGGAGUCAGGCAUCACCUUCCUCUCUCAAAUCUUUCCAUAUAUCUUUUCCCAUGCUGUUUGACUGGUCCAUCAGAGAGGCCAGCCUUUCCCAGGAGAGGAGGGCCAGUGAAGAAUAUAAAGGUAGCUGUGCUUCUUUGCUCGAGCCUCCAAACAGACUCUGAAGACAUCUCAGGGAACAUACACGUUUAUCUCUACCAUGUAAGUUUCUUGCUACUGACGUUCCCACUGAGGACCACAUUCAACA
rnacentral:snRNA from 1 species